UACGUAUGGGGCAAGCGUUAUCCGGAAUUAUUGGGCGUAAAGAGUGCGUAGGUGGUUACCUAAGCGCAAGGUUUAAUCUUGAGGCUCAACCUCAUUCUGCCUUGCGAACUGGGCUACUUGAGUGCAGGAGGGGAAAGCGGAAUUCCCAGUGUAGCGGUGAAAUGCGUAGAUAUUGGGAAGAACACCGGUGGCGAAGGCGGCUUUCUGGACUGUAACUGACACUGAGGCACGAAAGCGUGGGGAGCAAACAGGGUGAGAUACCCUGGUAGUCCCU
rnacentral:rRNA from 1 species